ensembl:ncRNA F55C5.14 ncRNA
UGCGAUCGGAAUGUGAAUGUGAAUGGUAGCGCCCCAUACGCACAUAUUUUCAACACAUUCAUACGAAGAAGGCGAAGAAGAAAAAGAAGAUCAGGGCGAUGACGACGAGAAGGGGGAUGUCGAAAACCGUCUAAUCUGCGCCCACAAUCGAAUCUUUUACGAGAAAUAGAAGAAGGCGCCGAUGUAAACGAAGGAGAGCGGAUGUGUGUUCGGCCACCAGAGGGAUUUGCCACGUGGUA